CGGGCGCACGGCGGAUGCCUUGGCACAGGGAGCCGAUGAAGGACGCGGCAAGCUGCGAUAAUCCCCGGCGAGGAGCACACAUCCUUCGACCCGGGGGUCUCCGAAUGGGCGAACCCAUGCACAGCGGUGUGCAUAUCCCCACCCCGAACACAUAGGGGCGGGGAGGACAACCCGGGGAACUGAAACAUCUAAGUACCCGGAGGAGAGGAAAUCAAUCUCGAGACUCCCCGAGUAGCGGCGAGCGAAAGGGGACCGAUGGCCAAACCGUCGAGCGGGCGUACCCGGCAGGGGUUCCGCCGACGGGGUUGCAGGGCCGCGCAUCCGGGGGCUGCCGCCCCCGGGCGCAGGUCCGGCUGGGGAGCGGAACGGCAUGGGAGGGCCGGCCGCAGCGGGUGAAAGCCCCGUACGCGAACCCAGACCGGACGGCGCGACGCGGUCCCUGAGUAGGGCCGGGCACGUGAAACCCGGUCCGAACCUGGGUGGACCACCAUCCAAGCCUGAGUACUACCCUGUGACCGAUAGCGCACCAGUACCGUGAGGGAAAGGUGAAAAGCACCCCGGGAGGGGAGUGAAACAGUACCUGAAACCGUGCGCCCACGAGCAGUCGGAGCACCUAUACGGUGUGACGGCGUGCCUUUUGUAGAAUGAGCCAGCGAGUCGCUGGCGCGGGGCGAGGUUAACCGAAAGGGAGCCGUAGCGAAAGCGAGCCUUAACAGGGCGACUUGAGUCCCGCGCCGCGGACGCGAAGCCGGGUGAGCUAUCCGUGGGCAGGCUGAAGCGGGGGUAAGACCCCGUGGAGGGCCGAACGCACGUCGGUUGAAAACGGCGGCGAUGACCUGCGGAUAGGGGUGAAAGGCCAAUCAAACCCGGAGAUAUCUCGUUCUCCCCGAAAUAGCUUUAGGGCUAGCGUCGCGCGUUCACCGCCGGAGGUAGAGCACCGGAUGGACGAGGGGGCUUCGCCGCCUACCGAAUCCAACCGAACUCCGAAUGCCGGCGGCCCAGAGCGCGGCAGUCAGAGCAUGUGGGCUAAGCUGUGUGCUCGAGAGGGAAACAGCCCGGACCGCCCGCUAAGGUCCCCAAGUUCCAGCCGAGUGGCAAAGGAUGUGCGUCCGCCCAGACAACCAGGAUGUUGGCUUAGAAGCAGCCAUCCAUUCAAAGAGUGCGUAACAGCUCACUGGUCGAGUGGACAUGCGCCGACAAUACACGGGGCUAAGCUGGACACCGAAGCGGCGGGAUUUUAUCUAUAUAGAAUCGGUAGGGGAGCUUCCCAUGGGCGGCGAAGCCGCCGGGCGACCGGCGGUGGAGCGCAUGGGAGUGAGAAUGCUGGCAUGAGUAGCGAGAGACGAGAGAGUAACUCGUCCGCCGUGAACCCGAGGUUUCCUGGGCAAGGCUAAUCCUCCCAGGGUCAGUCGGGGGCUAAGGCGAGGCCGGUAGGCGUAGCCGACGCGCAGCAGGCAGACAUUCCUGCACCGCGCACGCGGCGCUACGACCGACGGGGCGACGGAUGGGGGUGGCUCGGCGGGGUUCUGGACGUCCCCGUGAUGGAGCGCGGCCCGCGGACCAGGGAAAUCCGGUCCGCACGAGGGCGAGGCUCCGGACGAAGCGAUCAAGCGAAGCGAGUGAGCCCGAGGUCCCUAGAAAAACCCCUAGGCAGGCGCGUGCGCGCCCGUACCGCAAACCGACACAGGUGGGUGGGUAGAACAUACCGAGGCGAUCGGGUCAACCAUGGUCAAGGAACUCGGCACAAUGGCCCCGUAACUUCGGGAGAAGGGGUGCCCGCGCGUACGUGAACCGGCUUGCCCGGGGAGCGGAGGCGGGCCGCAGUGGAGAGGCCCAAGCGACUGUUUACCAAAAACACAGGACUCUGCAGAAGCCGCAAGGCGACGUAUAGGGUCUGACGCCUGCCCGGUGCCGGAAGGUCACGCGGAGGAGUUAGCCGCAAGGCGAAGCCCCGAAGCCAAGCCCCGGUAAACGGCGGCCGUAACAAUAACGGUCCUAAGGUAGCGAAAUUCCUUGUCGGGUAAGUUCCGACCUGCACGAAAGGCGCAACGACUUGGGCGCUGUCUCGACCAUGGACCCGGUGAAAUUGCACUGGUCGUGAAGAUGCGACUUACCCGCGGAAGGACGGAAAGACCCCGUGAACCUUCACUGCAGCUUGGCAUUGGCCGCUGGUCCCGCGUGUAGAGGAUAGGCAGGAGGCACAGAUCCGGAGGCGCCAGCCCCCGGGGAGCCGCCCUUGGAAUACUGCCCUCGCGCGACCGGCGUCCUAACCCGAGGCCGUCAACCGGCUCGGGGACCGUGCCAGGCGGGCAGUUUGACUGGGGCGGUCGCCUCCUAAAGGGUAACGGAGGCGCGCGAAGGUCCGCUCGGGACGGUCGGCAACCGUCCUUUUGAAUGCAAGAGUACAAGCGGGCUUGACUGCGAGGCCCACAAGCCGAGCAGGUGCGAAAGCAGGCUCUAGUGAUCCGGCGGCCCCGAGUGGGUGGGCCGUCGCUCAACGGAUAAAAGGUACUCCGGGGAUAACAGGCUGAUCUUGCCCAAGAGUCCACAUCGACGGCAAGGUUUGGCACCUCGAUGUCGGCUCAUCGCAUCCUGGGGCUGGAGCAGGUCCCAAGGGUACGGCUGUUCGCCGUUUAAAGCGGUACGCGAGCUGGGUUCAGAACGUCGUGAGACAGUUCGGUCCCUAUCCG
rnacentral:rRNA from 1 species